CGGUAUUAUUUAAUUACAAUAUGGGUAUUUUUAACAUAUUUGACUCAAAUUUUAGCCAUCCUUAUAUUUUGCAUAAUAACAUAUACAUUAUAAUCGUUUUUAUGAACAAAAAUGAAACUCAAUCGAAAAAAUUAUAGAGAAGAAUUGGGUUUGAUUCAUAAAUUAAACGCAAUACAGCUUUUGAAAUAAAUACUUAGUGAAAAUUAUUGCUUUCGAGUAUUAUGAUUUUUUUUUUUUGGUACUUAAAUUCUAAAUCUUUCUAAAUUGUUUUAUGAUUUAUCGUUUGACCCUAAAAUU